AUGAAAAGCUCCGGUUCUAACACACCAGGGCGCAGGAUCUACAGCCGCAUAUAAAGCGCGAUCUCUGGACUAUUUACAUUUGUUUCUUAUCAGAUUUUCUUUUCUCAGCCUCCCUUUGUGCCUAAGAGUCUGUUAGGAUACACAGUGCACUUGUGUAGUUUAUAUAUUUUUGCUAGAAAGAGUGGUGUGAGGUUGGAAACGCAGAGCGCACGCGCUUCACCUGGCACAAGAGCCUCCAGCAGAGGAGUGCAGGGGAAAGGUCACUGUGCUGUCAGUGGGAUGGUAGAAGUGUGGAGUGGAGUCCAGGCUGAAGGAGCAUGGUGAAACACCAACCCCUGCAGGUCUAUGAGAGACAACUCUGCUUGUCCUGUCUAACGGGGAUCUACGGCUGUCGCUGGAAACGUUACCAGCGCUCACACGAUGACACCACUAAGUGGGAGUGUAUGUGGACCCUCAUCCUCUUCGGGACUUUCACUCUGCUCCUGUUCUGGUUUUACUUCUGGUGGGAAGCAAGUAACGACUACAGUGAAUUUAACUGGUAUUUAUAUAACCAGUCUGGCGAGUGGAGUGAUGGAACUGUUCCCAUACUGGCCACGACAGCUGCAGGCUUCACCUAUAUCGCAUUUUUAUUGAUUUUAGCACUAUGUCACAUCGCAGUUGGACAGCAGCUGAACCUGCACUGGAUCCAUAAGAUCGGAGUGACUGCAGCUUUACUGACCACCAUGAUCGGCGUGAUAUCAGUCAGUCAGAUAUGGAGUGAGGAGUGGGAUAUCUUCUCAAUCUCUCUACAAGCCACAGGACCAUUCUUGCACAUCGGAGCUCUGGCUGCAAUUACAGCAUUGGCCUGGCUGGUAGCUGGACAAGUGGCUCGAUCUGAAAAGACCAUGUUUCAGGUUAUACUCCUGCUCGUGUACCUGCUGGUGCUCCUGAGCCUCUACCUGACCCCAUUGUCCAUCACAUCACCCUGCAUCAUGGAGCGAAACAAGCUUAAAGCACGACCUGCAGUCAUCGGCCAGCGCGGAGCUCCCAUGUUGGCUCCAGAGAACACGCUGCUCUCUUUCCAGAGAGCUGUGCAGAAGAAUGUCAGCGGCCUGGAGACCGAGGUGGCCAUCAGUCUGGAUGGAGUACCGUUCCUGAUGAGAGACCGUAACCUAAAGAGAACCACAGACGUGAGCAAAGUCUUUCCUGAGAGACAGAAUGAUGAUGCCUCGUUCUUCAACUGGACCGAGCUGAGCAUGCUCAAUGCCGGCCAUUGGUUUCUGAAGGGUGACCCGUACUGGUCAGUGCAGUACAUGUCUGAGCGAGAGCGCAGGUUAGUGGGGAAUCAGACGGUCUGCAGUCUGGAACAGAUGCUGCAGCUGGCAGCCCGCUCCAACCGCUCCGCCCUGUUUACCCUCCGCAGGCCUCCACCGGGGCACCCACACAACCUGAACUGGGUCAACAUCACCCUGAGCACCGUCCUGAACUCAGGCAUCCCUCAGCACCUUGUGGUGUGGAGUGUGGACUGGGACAGAAAGCUGGUAAAGCAGCAGGCUCCAGGCUUCCAGCAAAUGUCCACUGAGAAACUGACUCUGGAGAAUCUCCAUGAGAAAGGCAUCAGUAGAUUAUUGCUGCGCUACAACCAUUUUAGUGCUGAGGAGAUACGGACGUACACGGCGGGUAACGUGAGUGUGACCCUGUACACCGUGAACGAGCCGUGGCUUUAUUCCGUACUCUGGUGCAGCGGCGUUCACUCCGUCUCCUCUGAAGCACCGCAAAUCCUCCGGAAAGUUUUUUCGCCUCUUUGGCUAAUGAGUCCACAUGAGUACUGCUCGAUUUGGGUCGCUACAGAUCUCAUCUCCUUCGUUUUGGUCCUGGGGAUUUUUAUAUUUCAGAAGUGGAGGAUGAGUAACAUGCGUAGCUACAACCCGGAGCAGAUCAUGCUGAGCGCAGCUGUCAGGAGGUCGAGCCCAGACGUCAACAUCAUGAAGGAGAAGCUCAUCUUCUCUGGUCAGCAACAGUAGCAGAUUAACCCCAGCUGUAAGCCUUCAUCAUAUCAUCAUCUCAUCUCUCAUCCUGCAUCAUCCCUUACCAUCCUGAUGCUCCUGCACCAUCCUGCAUCAUCCCUAACUAUCCUCCAUCACCCUGCACCAUCUUUCAUCAUCCUGCUCCCUCUCAAACCAUCAAGUAUCAUCCUGCUCCAUCCGGCUUCUAUCUGACCCACCCUGCUCCAUAUAUAACCGUCCUGCAUCACCAACACCAUCCAUCCUGAACCAUCUUAUUUCACCACCUCCUUGCUCCCUUUUACUCCACCCACCCAUCCGUUCAUCCAUCCAUCCAUCCAUCCAUUCACUGCUACAUCCUUCACAUCCGGUUGUAGCUCAUUAAUGGCUUUGGUUGUCAUGACCAGAGAUCUCUUCAUGAGGUCAGCGAUGGGGUCAGCUGUGAUGAAAACGGGUUCGACUGCUACACCAAUCAAGAUGUUCACUGACUCAUCCCUCAACACUGACUGGGUGGGGAAAAAAGGGAAGAUUUCCGCCUCAGAUGUUCUGCCUGAACCGCUUUAGUUCUUUCUUUAUAAUUAUUAUUAAUAUCUCCCACUUCCCUCAGUGCUUUUCCAGUUUUCCAUGCGAGCUCCAGAAAGUUGCUGUAUCUUUAAAUGAACGUUAUGUAUGUUCUGUAUAGUUUUUUUUUUGGUACACUAUAUGACUUGUAAAGAAAGUGUGACUUGUUGAGUGCUCAUGAAGACUGGGAUGUCGGCCAUUUUAUUUGAAUUUGACUGUAAACAGGGCUUUAAUAGACCACGCCCUUUAUUUAAGAGAUGAGAAACCAUAACCAGGAGGAAUGUAAGGAAUAUUUCUAAACUAACGUGUGUGUGCGCGCGUGUGUGUGUCAAUUAUGAAGUAUGUAUAUGAAUGAAUGAAUGGAUGGAUGGAUGGAUUGAUUAGGAUUUACUCUGGGACUCUCUCCUCACUUAUCAAAGGGCCCAAGCAACUUCCUGUGUGUUUACAGUGUGCCUGUAUUUCUCUUUACUCUUGGUGACUUUUUCAUACGCACCCAUUGAAGAUUUUCAAGAAUAAUUUUUAUAUUCGUGUUCGAUGCCUUUCGGACGUUCAGCAUAUUUAAUUUUGGGUUACAGUCGAUGCACUCGAGCUUCUAAAAAGUUUGUUAUACACUUUGUGGUUAGACUUAGUAAGUACUAAGCUUUAAAGGAAAAAUCCACCCUGAACGAAGCUCGUAUUAGCCGUGUCUUCAUUUUAACUUGGAGAAAACAGUCCAGCUUCCAAAGCCAGCUUCACAACAUCCAAUGUGUCAUCUUGUAGCUGUGAGACUUCACCUGCUGCAUUGCAUUGUGGGAUGUUGAGUACAAUGUUUGCAGAUUCUAUGAUGUUGCUAGGACACAAUCUACGGUUGCUAGGAUAGUCCUAAACGUUUGAGAUUCCUAUUAAAUGCCAUGGUAACUGCACUAGCAUCAUAGACUUAGCAUCGCUAAACACUUCAUAAGAUACAUACAGCAUGUGUUCAGGGUGGAUUCCUCCUGUAACGCCGUUCUACACUGAAAGCGCUGAACUGAACGCAUCUUAGCGCCACGCACAGUACUACUGGAAAAUAUUUAAUUGCCUGGACUCAGAAGAGUGUUCAUAUUUAUAUAUUGUACAGUGAUUGUGUCUCAUUAUCAUAUAGUCUUUAUAGCGAAUAAAAUACAAGUUAUGGCACUGGUAGAUUUUGGUGAAGCGUUUUAACGAAAAUGUUCACGCUCGCACAGAAGAAAACAAACAAAUCAUUUUACUCUGUUUUUAUUUUGUACAUGUCUCAAGGAAUAAAUAAAUACAGUAUUUGGAAAUCUU